rnacentral:rRNA from 1 species
AUUGAACGCUGGCGGCAGGCCUAACACAUGCAAGUCGAACGAGUGGCGGACGGGUGAGUAAUGUCUGGGAAACUGCCCGAUGGAGGGGGAUAAAUACUGGAAACGGUAGCUAAUACCGCAUACCAUCGGAUGUGCCCAGAUGGGAUUAGCUAGUAGGUGGGGUAACGGCUCACCUAGGCGACGAUCCCUAGCUGGUAUGAGAGGAUGACCAGCCACACUGAAACUGAGACACGGUCCAGACUCCUACGGGAGGCAGCAGUAGGGAAUAUUGCACAAUGGGCGCAAGCCUGAUGCAGCCGUGCCGCGUGUAUGAAGAGGGCCUUCGGGUUGUAAAGUACUUUCAGCGGGGAGGCGUUACCCGCAGAAGAAGCACGGGCUAACUCCGUGACAGCAGCCGCGGUAAUAC